AGGAGCUUGCUUCUCUGACGUUAGCGGCGGACGGGUGAGUAACACGUGGAUAACCUACCUAUAAGACUGGGAUAACUUCGGGAAACCGGAGCUAAUACCGGAUAAUAUAUUGAACCGCAUGGUUCAAUAGUGAAAGACGGUUUUGCUGUCACUUAUAGAUGGAUCCGCGCCGCAUUAGCUAGUUGGUAAGGUAACGGCUUACCAAGGCAACGAUGCGUAGCCGACCUGAGAGGGUGAUCGGCCACACUGGAACUGAGACACGGUCCAGACUCCUACGGGAGGCAGCAGUAGGGAAUCUUCCGCAAUGGGCGAAAGCCUGACGGAGCAACGCCGCGUGAGUGAUGAAGGUCUUCGGAUCGUAAAACUCUGUUAUUAGGGAAGAACAAAUGUGUAAGUAACUAUGCACGUCUUGACGGUACCUAAUCAGAAAGCCACGGCUAACUACGUGCCAGCAGCCGCGGUAAUACGUAGGUGGCAAGCGUUAUCCGGAAUUAUUGGGCGUAAAGCGCGCGUAGGCGGUUUUUUAAGUCUGAUGUGAAAGCCCACGGCUCAACCGUGGAGGGUCAUUGGAAACUGGAAAACUUGAGUGCAGAAGAGGAAAGUGGAAUUCCAUGUGUAGCGGUGAAAUGCGCAGAGAUAUGGAGGAACACCAGUGGCGAAGGCGACUUUCUGGUCUGUAACUGACGCUGAUGUGCGAAAGCGUGGGGAUCAAACAGGAUUAGAUGCCUGGGUAGUCCACGCCGUAAACGAUGAGUGCUAAGUGUUAGGGGGUUUCCGCCCCUUAGUGCUGCAGCUAACGCAUUA
rnacentral:rRNA from 1 species